rnacentral:rRNA from 1 species
AUACGGAGGCUGCAAGCGUUACUCGGAAUCACUGGGCGUAAAGCGCGCGCAGGCGGCUUGAUAAGUUGGAUGUGAGAGCCUACGGCUCAACCGUAGAACUGCAUCCAAAACUGUCAGGCUAGAGUGUGGGAGAGGAAGAUGGAAUUAGUUGUGUAGGGGUAAAAUCCGUAGAGAUAACUAGGAAUACCAAAAGCGAAGGCAAUCUUCUGGAACACUACUGACGCUGAGGCGCGAAGGCGUGGGGAGCAAACAGGAUUAGAAACCCCAGUAGUCC